GUAAUUUAUUCAGAAGGUGAAUGAUUUCCGUAGAAGGCACAAUAAACUACAAGUGAAAAGUGCGUUCAAAGAUCAAAAUAUCUUGUAUUUUAACUUCAAUUUUCUCGAGAAAACAUGAGUUUACUUCGCUGUCCUUUCCUGGCUCGUCAGCCGAUGUCUGUACUUCGUUCAAAGAGUACACAUUUGAUGAAUUUCGCUCGAAAUUGUCCCGUGAUGUCGCGAGUUUUGAACUCUCUUCACCCGGCCAGCCAGCUGCACACUUCAGGUAUUUCUUCUUGUUUUGUCUAACGUUUUAAUAAGCUGUUAUUAAGGUUGUGGUUGAUUUAGGGUUCAUUUUUAUUUGGGGUUUUAUGGUAUCAAAGCUUUUCUUUCCCAAAC